AAGGAUGAGAAACUACCUAAAUUAAUACCUUACCCAGAAAAAUAGACGUCAAAUUUCACUUUCCUAACUAUCUUCCUUUUCUCUUUUCUUUGACGUCUAUUUUUCAUGGGUAAAGAGAGAAGGAAGAAGCAAGAGCCUGAAAAGAGAAAAAGGAAGAAGGAAGAGAAAAAGGUGAAAAGAUAAAAAGAAGAAGGAAAAGAGAGGAAAAGCUGUAGAUCGACUGGAAAAUCAUUAGGAAAGUGAAAUUUGACAUCUAUUUUUUGUGGGUAAGGUAUUAAUUUGGGAGAAAGAUUGAAUUUUUGAUGUUUUUGGGCAAGAUCGGAUGAUGAUGUGAAAAUUGGGUUAAAUUGUCAACCUGAAAACAUGUUUGGAAACCUACAUUUUUACCCCAUAUAAUAUGUGAUAUUUUAAUGUUGCUA